rnacentral:rRNA from 1 species
AGUGAACGCUGGCGGUAGGCCUAACACAUGCAAGUCGAACGGCAGCACAGUAAGAGCUUGCUCUUACGGGUGGCGAGUGGCGGACGGGUGAGGAAUACAUCGGAAUCUACUUUUUCGUGGGGGAUAACGUAGGGAAACUUACGCUAAUACCGCAUACGACCUACGGGUGAAAGCAGGGGAUCUUCGGACCUUGCGCGAUUGAAUGAGCCGAUGUCGGAUUAGCUAGUUGGCGGGGUAAAGGCCCACCAAGGCGACGAUCCGUAGCUGGUCUGAGAGGAUGAUGAGCCACACUGGAACUGAGACACGGUCCAGACUCCUACGGGAGGCAGCAGUGGGGACUAUUGGACAAUGGGCGCAAGCCUGAUCCAGCCAUACCGCGUGGGUGAAGAAGGCCUUCGGGUUGUAAAGCCCUUUUGUUGGGAAAGAAAAGCAGCAGGUUAAUACCCCGCUGUUCUGACGGUACCCAAAGAAUAAGCACCGGCUAACUUCGUG